rnacentral:rRNA from 1 species
UACGGAGGGGGCAAGCGUUGUUCGGAAUUACUGGGCGUAAAGGGCUCGUAGGUGGCCAACUAAGUCAGACGUGAAAUCCCUCAGCUUAACUGGGGAACUGCGUCUGAUACUGGAUGGCUUGAGUUCGGGAGAGGGAUGCGGAAUUCCAGGUGUAGCGGUGAAAUGCGUAGAUAUCUGGAGGAACACCGGUGGCGAAGGCGGCAUCCUGGACCGACACUGACGCUGAGGAGCGAAAGCCAGGGGAGCAAACGGG